AUAUGAUAUAAUUUAAUUUUAUUAGUAAUACUUAAUAUUUAAUAAAAUAAUUUUAAAUUAAAAUUUAUUAGGUGAAAUUUUUAAAUUUUAAUAAAAAUUUAUAAUUUUUUAUGAGGUUAAGAAAUUUAAUUUAUAAACUAGGAUUAGAUACCCUAUUAUUUUAAAUGUAUUUAUAUUUACUAAAUUAGUAUUAGUUAAGUUCUUGAAAAUUAAAAAUUUUGGCGGUAUUUUAGUCUAUUCAGAGGAACCUGUUCUAUAAUUGAUAAUCCACGAUUUAAUUUACUUUUUUUAUUAGUUUGUAUAUCGUCGUAAUUUGAAUAUUUUAUAAGAAUAUAAAUAUUCAAAAUUUUAUAUAAGAAAAUAAAUCAGAUCAAGGUGCAGUUUAUAAAAAAGAAGAAAUGGGUUACAAUAAAUUUAUUUAAGGAUUAUUAUUUAUAAAAUAAUAUGAAUUUGGAUUUGAGGGUAAAUUAAAUUAAUUAGUUUAGUUGAUUUUAGCUCUAAAAU
rnacentral:rRNA from 1 species